UUUCUUUUAAAGCUAGCUUCAAGCCAGCAAAGUCUCCUUAUUUACUGUUCCCUCAGCUUCACCAUCAUCAUAAUGUAACACAGCCUUCUUGGAGUCAAGCCUAGUCAGGGUACGUUUGUUUUUAGAAAAAACUUUUGGUGCAGGAAUUUGUCCUAUUGCUAGAACAGAAAGAUUCAUUUUUAUCCCGAGCCCUGGUGUCAGCAUGUUCCUUUGGAUGAUAAGGUACCUUCCCAUGCCUCCGUUUGCCACCCUGCCCCGUGCAGGUCACGAUCCCUGGCAUCUUAGCACUUUGAGCUCUGGGUAACACACUGUCAAGGGGAUCUUGUGCUCAAACGCUGUGCUUUCCUCUCUGAGAAUGGCUGGGGGCGCCUUUCCUGAUGGGAGCUGCAGCUCUCAGGAUAAAGAUGCUCCCUUGACCCGCUUGAGUUCUCCAACAGAAGACAGUAACAUGACACAAAUGGUAGCACAAGGCUCUUACUGUUCCAUUCAAUAAGUGAGUCUCUGUGGAUGGAUUAUAACUCCCAAAAUGUUGCAAAGAGAGGCUAGAAAGAGUGGAAUUAUGCUCCCAGGAAGAAAAAUCCAGAGUAAGAGCACGGGUUUAAUGGACAUACUUUGGAUUUACACCAGCAUCCUGAAAGCAGAAUCGUCCCCCGUAGAUGUGGCAGUAUCACCGUAGCUUUCUCCAGGAUCAAGCAGAAAUUGCAGAAUACAGAGGGGUGCAGGAUUCAUCCACCAGCCUUUGUCAUGUCGUGAGCAUGCACAGUCUGUUUCUCCUGGAAGAGCUCCAAGUGACUAGAAAGAGGUCUUUCGAUUGGGAGGUGUAUCUCAAGACACAGAGUUACCUGAUGUCACCAGGGCCCUUGGAUGGCUUAAUCUAGGCUUGAUAGGAUUAAUAAAUGAAUUCUUGACUGAGCCUGCAUGUGAAGUCUGUAUUGAAGAAAGGCUUAUUCUUUGGCCCAACUCCAAAAGAAACUAAUCAUCAUG